AACGAACGCUGGCGGCAGGCCUAACACAUGCAAGUCGAGCGAGAAGCUUCUUUCGGGAAGUGGAUAGCGGCGGACGGGUGAGUAACACGUGGGGAUGUGCCCAAAGGUACGGAAUAGCCUCGGGAAACUGGGAGUAAUACCGUAUGUGCCCUUCGGGGGAAAGAUUUAUCGCCUUUGGAUCAACCCGCGUUAGAUUAGCUUGUUGGUGAGGUAAAGGCUCACCAAGGCGACGAUCUAUAGCUGGUCUGAGAGGAUGAUCAGCCACACUGGGACUGAGACACGGCCCAG
rnacentral:rRNA from 1 species